GACACCUACUUGUACUUUGGUCAAGCUCAAACGCUCUACUUAUAGAUGAACUUUAAUCAUAUUUCUAUGUAUUAAAGAACGCAAUACAGCUAGCAAAGAGAUAGCAAAAGAUAUAAUCUGCCGAAGAAAAAUGGCCGUUAGUGCUGCUGCUUCAUCUUCUUCAUCUUACUCUAAUUCAUCACGGUUUACUGCGGUUUGCAGCUUCGUCUUGGUUGUGAUCCUCAAUUUCCUGCCACUAAUCUUCGCUAGAAAAUCCGGAAUUGUUCACGGAAGUUUUCCAGCUCCAUCUCAUGGACCAAGAGAUUUGGGCGGAAACAAACGCCUGUAAUUGAACAUCGGAAUAAGUUACCUAGGAGAGAGGACUGUCGUUCGGCACACCAUCAAGGUGGAGCAGCCUAUAUACUUGGACACAUGCACAAUAUAGAUAUCAAGAGUUGGAAAUGCUCUAAACCAGAUAAGUUACAUGUUAAUAAGCUAUCUAGAUGGCUAGCAGUAGCACCAAUGUCUUACAGAAAAUGGAGUCAUAUCGAGCAUUUCAUAUUUCUCGCUAGCUAUGUUGUAUGUGUAUUCAUAUAUUGUAAAUUUUUAAAGAAAUGGUCAAAUUAAUCGAUCGACUUGCGGGCACCUGCUUGAGAUAAAUGAUAUCUAUCUCUUGUAUGAGAGGUAAAGGCUACCCAAGUGAUCAUUCAGAAUAUUGCUCUCAGCAGGGUUGCUUAAUUUUGAGAGAGUUGCACUAUUUCGGUUUGAUUAUCAGCUACUGUCUUCGGAAGUGUUUUCGACUCAACCUCUGCAGUCUGUGCUCAAGAGAAUUCUCAUUCAAAGAAUGGCAAAGUCUCCCCGUGCUUAACAGGCCCGUACCCAGCGAGGCAUGUCUUUGAUCUGGAUGCCGGUUUGGAAGAAAAUGAAGUCCUAUAGCCAAGUCCCAGAUGGUCAUAUUCGUCUACAAGGCAGAGUCCCAGUUUAGAGUGCUGAAGCGAAACAUCUUUUCCAGAGAUGCAAACCAGAAAAUAGAACAUUAAAUUGACAUAAAUCCGAAGAGCUUCGUUCUUCGCUGCCGUCAACAAUGUACACUCGAAAUCGAACUAUCAGCAGGGAUAAGGGGGCCGAGACAUGACGGCGGAGGACGUAGACGCUUGCCUAAUCUGUUGAUUCACUUCUACAGAUGACUUCGUCAUCGUUUUCUUCCUCCUCCGGGUCCUCCCAAGCAAAAUGCCGAAGCCUCCAUGUCACCAUGACUGUUCGGUGAUCACGACAUGGCCCAUAUCAUAUUGGUGGUCGCAUCAGAUAAUUAAUAUGGCCUUUCCGGCCUGUGGGCUAGGCCUGCAACCACAAGUCAUUCUGAGCAUGGCAUGGGGCCUUGCCUAAGUUGCCUUAACUUCUAUGCAAUACGACAUAUUUGUUUUGAUU